GUCUGUGGCGCAAUGGGUCCGUGCGUCUGGCUGUUAACCAGAAGGUUUGUGGUUGAAGCCCACCAAGGGAUG